UACAUGUGGGGCAAGCGUUGUUCGGAAUUACUGGGCGUAAAGGGUUCGUAGGUGGCUCGCUAAGUCAGACGUGAAAUCCCUCAGCUUAACUGGGGAACUGCGUCUGAGACUGGCAAGCUUGAGUGCAGGAGAGGAACGCGGAAUUCCAGGUGUAGCGGUGAAAUGCGUAGAUAUCUGGAGGAACACCGGUGGCGAAGGCGGCGUUCUGGACUGCAACUGACACUGAUGAACGAAAGCCAGGGGAGCAAACGGG
rnacentral:rRNA from 1 species